rnacentral:rRNA from 1 species
UACAGAGGGGGCAAGCGUUGUCCGGAUUUACUGGGCGUACAGCGCGCGCAGGCGGUUGCGUAUGUGAGCGGUGACAUCCGCGGGCUCAACCCGCGGCGGCCCGCUUACACAGCGCGACUGGAGGCAGGGAGUGGGAUGUGGAAUACCCGGUGGAGCGGUGAAAUGCGUAGAGAUCGGGUGGAACACCAGCGGCGAAGGCGGCAUCCUGGCCCUGUACUGACGCUGAGGCGCGAUAGCGUGGGGAGCAAACGGG